rnacentral:rRNA from 1 species
UACAGAGGUCCCCGAGCGUUGUUCGGAUUUACUGGGCGUAAAGGGUGCGUAGGUGGUCGGGUAAGUCUCAUGUGAAAUCCCCGCAGCUUAACUGCGGAACGGCAUGGGAUACUAUUCGGCUCGAGGAUUGGAGGGGGGACUGGAAUUCCCGGUGUAGCAGUGAAAUGCGUAGAUAUCGGGAGGAACACCAGUGGCGAAGGCGGCUCACUGGCCCGAUACUGACGCUGAGGCACGAAAGCGUGGGGAGCAAACGGGG